rnacentral:lncRNA from 1 species
CUUUUGCUCAGAAGCUUGACAAAAAUGUCCUUAGAUCCUAGAUGAAAAUGAGACCAGAAGAUGGAAGAAUCUGGAUCUCAAAAGGCUGGAGUGCGGUGGCAUGAUCUCGGCUCACUGCAAACUCUGCCUCCCCAGUUCAAAUGAUUCUUCUGCCUUCUGCCUCAGCCUCCCAAAUAGCUGGAACUACAGCAAGGCCAACUUUUCUACCAGAUAACCCUGACCUCAUCCUGUCAGAAUUGAAUGGACCAAGAAUUGAGCUACCCUAAAAGUGCCCACUUUGCUUGUGGGAUUUAGGAGGAAAUGCCACACACUGUCAUAGAAAAAAUGGCGUCUCACUCUAUUGCCCAGGCUAGAGUACAAUAGUGCAAUCUUGGCUCACUGCAACCUCCCCCUCCCAGGUUCAAGCCAUUCUCCUGCCUCAGCCUCCCGAGUAGCUAGAACUACAAGCACGUGCACUGUACCCAGCUAAUUUUUUGUAUUUUUAGCAGAGACGGGGUUUCUCCAUGUUGGCCAGGCUGGUCUCGAACUCCUGACCUCAGGUAAUCCACCGCCUCAUCCUCCCAAAAUGCAUUAUCUCUUCCCAAAAUGCAUUAUCUAUUUCAUUAAGAAAAAGGAGAAAGCAACCAUGCUAAGCUUCAAAUAAAAGCAUGUGAGCACACCUGAUGACGCUAGACCCACUGGAAUCUCGCAUAACUCAUCCUGAACGUGUUGGGAAUCAAGUCUCUCAGGAUUAGCCCUGGUAAUCUGAAAGUCACCAGUCAUCAAGAAGUGGCAUCUCUACCAUGUGGUGCAAUCAUAGCCCUGAACUCAAAUUUCUGUCUGAUAUAUUUGAUGUGAUCCCUCCUUUUAUACCCUUUUAACUUCUGCUUGGAGAGACCCACUGACCUUGUAGCUGACUGUCAGAACUUUUCCUUGCCAGGCCAGCAAUAAAUUUGGCAUUGUUUUGGACAUUGA